rnacentral:tmRNA from 1 species
GGGGCUGACAAAGCUUAGACGGAUCAUUAACAGUAUUCAUGCGAGUCGAUUUGUACCGUAAGUACCUAACAUAAUUGCAGAAAAAACUGCUAGUAAGCACGUGGCAUUUAUGCCUGCUUACGCUAUGGCCUAAGAAUAUUCUCUAGGUCUGCCUUUGCCGUAAUGCAUCAUAGCGACUAAGGUAUUAUAUUAUGAUGAUAAGGUGAGCUAUCCGACGAACAGCUCAUUCGAAAAAUAUCGUCAAGGCAUUGAUAAGUUUUGUUUAUUCCAGCUUAUCGAAUCUGCCGAGAUAAAAGAAUAAACUACGCUUGUAGGUUGGAUACAUGAAGAUUUUUCGGACCCGGAGGCAGUAUCCGGCAGCUCCACCA